GGUUAAGCGACUAAGCGUACACGGUGGAUGCCCUGGCAGUCAGAGGCGAUGAAGGACGUGCUAAUCUGCGAAAAGCGUCGGUAAGGUGAUAUGAACCGUUAUAGCCGGCGAUGUCCGAAUGGGGAAACCCAGUGCAAUUCGUUGCACUAUCGUUAACUGAAUACAUAGGUUAACGAGGCGAACCGGGGGAACUGAAACAUCUAAGUACCCCGAGGAAAAGAAAUCAACCGAGAUUCCCCCAGUAGCGGCGAGCGAACGGGGAGCAGCCCAGAGUCUGAAUCAGCUUGUGUGUUAGUGGAACGGUCUGGAAAGUCCGACGGUACAGGGUGAUAGUCCCGUACACCAAAAUGCACAGGCUGUGAACUCGAAGAGUAGGGCGGGACACGUGGUAUCCUGUCUGAAUAUGGGGGGACCAUCCUCCAAGGCUAAAUACUCCUGACUGACCGAUAGUGAACCAGUACCGUGAGGGAAAGGCGAAAAGAACCCCGGCGAGGGGAGUGAAAAAGAACCUGAAACCGUGUACGUACAAGCAGUGGGAGCACCUUCGGGUGUGACUGCGUACCUUUUGUAUAAUGGGUCAGCGACUUAUAUUCUGUAGCAAGGUUAACCGUAUAGGGGAGCCGCAGGGAAACCGAGUCUUAACUGGGCGUUAAGUUGCAGGGUAUAGACCCGAAACCCGGUGAUCUAGCCAUGGGCAGGUUGAAGGUUGGGUAACACUAACUGGAGGACCGAACCGACUAAUGUUGAAAAAUUAGCGGAUGACUUGUGGCUGGGGGUGAAAGGCCAAUCAAACCGGGAGAUAGCUGGUUCUCCCCGAAAGCUAUUUAGGUAGCGCCUCGUGAACUCAUCUUCGGGGGUAGAGCACUGUUUCGGCUAGGGGGUCAUCCCGACUUACCAACCCGAUGCAAACUACGAAUACCGAAGAAUGUUAUCACGGGAGACACACGGCGGGUGCUAACGUCCGUCGUGAAGAGGGAAACAACCCAGACCGCCAGCUAAGGUCCCAAAGUCAUGGUUAAGUGGGAAACGAUGUGGGAAGGCACAGACAGCCAGGAUGUUGGCUUAGAAGCAGCCAUCAUUUAAAGAAAGCGUAAUAGCUCACUGGUCGAGUCGGCCUGCGCGGAAGAUGUAACGGGGCUAAACCAUGCACCGAAGCUGCGGCAGCGACACUAUGUGUUGUUGGGUAGGGGAGCGUUCUGUAAGCCUGCGAAGGUGACCUGUGAGGGUUGCUGGAGGUAUCAGAAGUGCGAAUGCUGACAUAAGUAACGAUAAAGCGGGUGAAAAGCCCGCUCGCCGGAAGACCAAGGGUUCCUGUCCAACGUUAAUCGGGGCAGGGUGAGUCGACCCCUAAGGCGAGGCCGAAAGGCGUAGUCGAUGGGAAACAGGUUAAUAUUCCUGUACUUGGUGUUACUGCGAAGGGGGGACGGAGAAGGCUAUGUUAGCCGGGCGACGGUUGUCCCGGUUUAAGCAUGUAGGCUGAUUGUCCAGGCAAAUCCGGAUAAUCAAGGCUGAGGUGUGAUGACGAGGCACUACGGUGCUGAAGUAACAAAUGCCCUGCUUCCAGGAAAAGCCUCUAAGCAUCAGGUAACAUCAAAUCGUACCCCAAACCGACACAGGUGGUCAGGUAGAGAAUACCAAGGCGCUUGAGAGAACUCGGGUGAAGGAACUAGGCAAAAUGGUGCCGUAACUUCGGGAGAAGGCACGCUGGUGUGUAGGUGAAGCCCCUGCGGGUGGAGCUGAGACCAGUCGAAGAUACCAGCUGGCUGCAACUGUUUAUUAAAAACACAGCACUGUGCAAACACGAAAGUGGACGUAUACGGUGUGACGCCUGCCCGGUGCCGGAAGGUUAAUUGAUGGGGUUAUCCGUAAGGAGAAGCUCUUGAUCGAAGCCCCGGUAAACGGCGGCCGUAACUAUAACGGUCCUAAGGUAGCGAAAUUCCUUGUCGGGUAAGUUCCGACCUGCACGAAUGGCGUAAUGAUGGCCAGGCUGUCUCCACCCGAGACUCAGUGAAAUUGAACUCGCUGUGAAGAUGCAGUGUACCCGCGGCAAGACGGAAAGACCCCGUGAACCUUUACUAUAGCUUGACACUGAACAUUGAGCCUUGAUGUGUAGGAUAGGUGGGAGGCUUUGAAGCGUGGACGCCAGUCUGCGUGGAGCCAACCUUGAAAUACCACCCUUUAAUGUUUGAUGUUCUAACGUUGGCCCCUGACCGGGGUUGCGGACAGUGUCUGGUGGGUAGUUUGACUGGGGCGGUCUCCUCCCAAAGCGUAACGGAGGAGCACGAAGGUUAGCUAAUCCUGGUCGGACAUCAGGAGGUUAGUGCAAUGGCAUAAGCUAGCUUGACUGCGAGCGUGACGGCGCGAGCAGGUGCGAAAGCAGGUCAUAGUGAUCCGGUGGUUCUGAAUGGAAGGGCCAUCGCUCAACGGAUAAAAGGUACUCCGGGGAUAACAGGCUGAUACCGCCCAAGAGUUCAUAUCGACGGCGGUGUUUGGCACCUCGAUGUCGGCUCAUCACAUCCUGGGGCUGAAGUAGGUCCCAAGGGUAUGGCUGUUCGCCAUUUAAAGUGGUACGCGAGCUGGGUUUAGAACGUCGUGAGACAGUUCGGUCCCUAUCUGCCGUGGGCGCUGGAGAAUUGAGGGGGGCUGCUCCUAGUACGAGAGGACCGGAGUGGACGCAUCACUGGUGUUCGGGUUGUCAUGCCAAUGGCACUGCCCGGUAGCUAAAUGCGGAAGAGAUAAGUGCUGAAAGCAUCUAAGCACGAAACUUGCCCCGAGAUGAGUUCUCCCUGAGACUUUAAGUCUCCUGAAGGAACGUUAAAGACGAUGACGUUGAUAGGCCGGGUGUGUAAGCGCAGCGAUGCGUUGAGCUAACCGGUACUAAUGAACCGUGAGGCUUAACCUU
rnacentral:rRNA from 1 species